AGGACGAACGCUGGCGGCGUGCUUAACACAUGCAAGUCGAGCGGAAAGGCCCUUCGGGGUACUCGAGCGGCGAACGGGUGAGUAACACGUGAGCAACCUGCCCUUAGCUUCGGGAUAGCUCCGGGAAACCGGAAUUAAUACCGAAUAUGACUUUGGCUGACAUCAGCAGAAGUGGAAAGUUUUUCGGCUAGGGAUGGACUCGCGGCCUAUCAGCUAGUUGGUGAGGUAACGGCCCACCAAGGCGACGACGGGUAGCCGGCCUGAGAGGGCGACCGGCCACACUGGGACUGAGACACGGCCCAGACUCCUACGGGAGGCAGCAGUGGGGAAUAUUGCGCAAUGGGCGAAAGCCUGACGCAGCGACGCCGCGUGGGGGAUGAAUGCCUUCGGGUUGUAACCCCUUUCAGCAGGGACGAAGCGAAAGUGACGGUACCUGCAGAAGAAGCGCCGGCUAACUACGCGCCAGCAGCCGC
rnacentral:rRNA from 1 species